UACGUAGGGGGCUAGCGUUAUCCGGAUUCACUGGGUGUAAAGGGAGCGUAGACGGCGACGCAAGUCUGGAGUGAAAGCCCGGGGCCCAACCCCGGGACUGCUCUGGAAACUGCGGCGCUGGAGUACGGGAGGGGCAGGCGGAAUUCCUGGUGUAGCGGUGAAAUGCGUAGAUAUCAGGAGGAACACCGGCGGCGAAGGCGGCCUGCUGGACCGUGACUGACGUUGAGGCUCGAGAGCGUGGGGAGCAAACAGG
rnacentral:rRNA from 1 species